rnacentral:rRNA from 1 species
UACGUAGGGGGCGAGCGUUGUCCGGAUUUAUUGGGCGUAAAGAGCUCGUAGGCGGUUCGAUAAGUCGGACGUGAAAUCUCCACGCUCAACGUGGAGGGGCCGUUCGAUACUGUCGUGACUCGAGUCCGGUAGGGGAGUGUGGAAUUCCCGGUGUAGCGGUGAAAUGCGCAGAGAUCGGGAGAACACCCGUAGCGAAGGCGGCACUCUGGGCCGGUAUGACGCUGAGGAGCGAAAGCGUGGGGAGCAAAGCAGG